AUGGACUUAAUAUUGCAUAAUCAAGUCUUAGUGUUUGCAACUUGAGUUCUUCAUAAGAGGUAAUCGAACAAUUGGCCAGGUAAGCAGGUGGGAGGCUCCCCUUACUCAGAGAGUAAGGUCCUAAUUAAGUAACCACCUUAUAGGCUUGCCUAGACACCAAUUAGAUCAAUUAAUCAAAUAUGACUAACUCAUGUCGGUUCACCCUCGACUGAUUAGGGAGGUUUCGAUUUAGGUCUCACUCGAUCGCGUAUUCACAUCUCAUGC
rnacentral:lncRNA from 1 species